AGACAACUGUGUGAGAGAUUCAUCAAAUGACAGCUGUGGAAGAUUCCUGAAAGAAGUGAAGAGUAACUUCUCCAAGAUGAGAUUUUAUGCAAUGAGUCUGCUUGGAUCACAAUGGAGUACAUGAAGCUGGCAACAACAGGUUAGACUGAAGCCGCCUUCUCUGCUGCAGUGAAGAAUGGCAACGCUUCUGGAACUGUUUAGAAGGGCGAGUGGCGCUAGUCCAUAGUGAGGAACGCUCUGAACAAAGACAGGGCGACUUUCAAAACCCAUUUCCCCCGAGUUUAGUAGCCAGAAGACAACGAAAACGGGAGUGGGGGGAGGCUCUCCAACGGGAGCAGCACGACGAGCGCUUGCGAGGAUUAGGCCCGAAGCCUCCCGUUUCCAUGGAGACGCCCAACCAUCACCACUCCCAACGACCCAAACCGUUUCCCAGCCCAGCCACCUGCUGAACCGAAGAGACCGACACGACGACCCACCCGACGGCACGCAGAUUCCGACCCCACCAAGCCACCUCACCUUUCCACCUCACCCGCGACGAUCCACAUCCCUCAAAAACAAAAAAGGACCCCUUUUUCCUUCCGCGUGACAACCUAGCCCCCUUUCUCUCUGCAACGCCUUCCAAUGAGUGAAAAAGCAACCAACCAAUCAACACGGAGCUCUUCUUUACGGACGUAAACUUGAAAGAAUGAGAGGCGGGGAGCGGUCGGCUAGGAGGCGGGCCUUUACGCGUCCUCCUUCACAAGUUCGGUUGCGCCGCGCGCUCUUCCCUACUUGAAAGUUGGCGCGGGCCGCGGCGGGAAGGGGGAUCUUCUCCGCGAUUGGUUGGAGCCGAUAGCCAAUCAGAGGGGCAGGGGGCGGGCAAACAGCUAGGUGUUGGAUACUUGUCUUAGGUGCGGUAAAAGGGAGUUUUAACGAUCUCUCGGUUGAAUAGAAGUGGGUGGCAGGAUCACCUCUCAGAUGGUACUUGUUAUUUGCAAAGAAAACUGAGUGUCGCAUAAGAGUUAGAACUGUUAUUUGCCAUUAUUCCCGCACGUCAGAGCAAGUGCAUUUUGCAAGAGAGGAGGAAUUGUCUCCUUUCUGCUGAAUUCCUUCUGUCUGGAGUAAGAUCUCUUUAAAACCAGCCUUCGUUGGUGCAUAAUUUGAUUUGAUACCGAAAAUGUAUUCAUGCUUAACUGCAGCGUUCAGUCAACUAUUCAGUAAGACUACAUUAAAAAAAAUGUCUUGAUCAA